rnacentral:rRNA from 1 species
UACGGAGGGUGCAAGCGUUAUCCGGAUUCACUGGGUUUAAAGGGUGCGUAGGCGGACAGGUAAGUCAGUGGUGAAAUCUCCGAGCUUAACUCGGAAACUGCCGUUGAUACUAUUUGUCUUGAAUAUUGUGGAGGUAAGCGGAAUAUGUCAUGUAGCGGUGAAAUGCUUAGAUAUGACAUAGAACACCAAUUGCGAAGGCAGCUUACUACACAACGAUUGACGCUGAGGCACGAAAGCGUGGGUAUCAAACAGG